CUUUUGCUAUAUUGAAUAUAGCAACUUGAUAUUUGGCAUGCAUGUGUAUCUCAUGGAGCUGCACAUUUUGAGUGGUGAAAGGUCAAGGUCAAGGUCAUCCUUUAAGGUCAGAGGUCAAAUAUAUGUGGCCCAAAUCGCUUAUUUUAUGAAUACUUUUGCAAUAUUGAAGAUAGCAACUUGAUAUUUGGCAUGCAUGUGUAUCUCAUGGAGCUGCACAUUUUGAGUGGUGAAAGGUCAAGGUCAUCCUUCAAGGUCAAACGUCAUACAGGGGGACAUUGUGUUUCACAAACACAUCUUGUU